rnacentral:snRNA from 1 species
UUGUCAUCUAAUAAUAUUAGU